rnacentral:misc_RNA from 1 species
CAUAACUUGUCCAAAAACUCACCUGCAAUUAACACACAAAAAUUGUCAAUAACCAAAAAUUGCCCAAAAUUCUGGGUAACACCAAGUUUGGUCAGCCAUGUUCAAAUGGCAAUAACUAAGGCUAUAAAACUCCAAAUGGAAUGAUUCAAAAAGAGAAAUAAAGUUAAGACAAUAAAGAACAACUUCUAUGAAGGAAAUUUAGUCCAAUUAUCACAGCAACUUGACCAAUAGAACAGUGCAAAACAGAACACCAAAUUUAAAAUUUUGGAAAUUUCACCUAAGAAACUUAAAGUUUGAGUAAAUAACGAAAACUAACAAAUUAGGUAACCAAAAUAUGAUAUGUGGGUAAAAUUAGAAUUCCCAUACCUAUUA